UACGGAGGGUGCUAGCGUUGUUCGGAUUUACUGGGCGUAAAGCGCGUGUAGGCGGCUUUGCAAGUCGGAUGUGAAAGCCCACGGCUCAACCGUGGAAGUGCAUCCGAAACUGCAUGGCUGGAGUCUCGGAGAGGAAGGUGGAAUGCUUGGUGUAGAGGUGAAAUUCGUAGAUAUCAAGCAGAACACCUGCGGCGAAGGCGGCCUUCUGGACGAUGACUGACGCUGAGACGCGAAAGCGUGGGGAGCAAACAGG
rnacentral:rRNA from 1 species